GCAUAACAAUGUUAAACAAUACAAAACGGGCCAAGCAAAGGUAAGUCGGCGUUAUUGUUCGUAGCAACUUAAUUACCUGGCAUUAUCAAGCACAAUGUAGAGAACUCUUGGGCGCCGCUUUUGUAUUUCACCGCUAGAGACUGUUUAAAAAGGAGGGCAGGCGCACUGAAGGACUCAUUGCAGAGAGAGUCACCGUUGCAAGAUGUUCUCGAGUGCGAACGCUGUCCUGCUACAAGCUGCAAUGUCGGGGUAUGACGAGAGAAAACCCCGCAGACAUCGGCGGAAGAACCGUAGCAGCAACAAGACCACAGCGCACCAAGCGGCGAAAGGUUGCACUGCUGUUGGGGAAGUCUCUGUGAAGAAGAAUUUGACAAAGGACUUGGCUGAUGCCAUGGAGGGCUGCGAAAACUCUGGGGGACGUCCAAAUGUCUUCCUACAAGCAGUGGAGAAUGCCCUAAAGGUCUUCAAGAGAGCUGGCCAUUGUAAUACGCAAGGACAGAAUUCGAAAGGGGAUCGCAGACAUCCAACCUUGUGAUGAAAGGAUCUCCUGAAUUUCAAGUAACACAAGAUAACAGAACAUCCAUUCCAGGGCAGUCCAUUUAUAAAAAGAGACACUGGAUUAAAGUUGGGAGGAGGGUGUUACUGUUAUUAUUAGUUUCUAACAGAUAAUAAUUUUAGGAAGUAAAGGUACGGUAAAGUUCUCAUCAAUUGAUGUACAAGAUGUAAAACUUGUGUAACAUGGUCCUUUAUUACAAUGUUGUUUUCCACAGCCCUCAAAUACUACUACAUAAAAAGUGUACUCCAAAGGCAUAGUAUUAAUUUGGUCCCUAUCAUAUAGUACAACCACUGCUUCCAUAGUACAUUUGUAUGUAAAAGUCAAAAAGUCUAUAGAUAAAAGUCAGACUACAUAUUCAGUACCCUGUCUUGUUGUCAGUGACAUGUCAUCAUGGUGAUAUAAAAGUUCAUCUAGAAAACACUACAUACAUUGAUUUGGCAGAGUGGAUAGUUGGACCUAAAUACUUUUCAAUGUACAUUACAGGUAGAUAUUGAUACUUUUACAGAAAACAUGGAAAAGACAGUCAAUUAAGACAGUUAUUAAUUAGUUACGGUUUUAUCAUUGUCAUUUCUGUAUACCAGUAGUUUUGAGCAACAGUUUUCUUCCAGUCUGUUUUACAUAGUAAAAAUAAUUAAAACUGUCAUUACACAUCAAUAUACCAGUAUAUAUCACACUCUUGGUUACUAGUAUCUCACUUUGCAUCUAUUCUGGGUAAAAAUAAUAAAAGACAAAGCGUAAUUGCAGACCUAUCUUAAAAAGCAUGUCAACAGAAUGUACUGUGCCUGCACAAAACCUGGAUUUUUACAUUUUCGCUGGAUAUUUGGUCAAUGUUGUAUCAGGAUUUAGCUCAUUGCAGAUGAUAUCUUUUCCACAACACUUGAAAACUAAAGAUACACAAUACAAAUGUACUACAUGUAGAUAGUUUGUGCGGGUGCAGUGCAUUCUGCCGACAUGCUGUUUUAUAACAUGUUUUAUAACAGUGAAACUUAAAGCUAAGCUACAUUAUUAGCAAACUACAUGGCACCAUGGGAAAGCUAUGCAAAGUAUAUAAUUUUAUAGAGAACAAUAACAAAAAUAACAUGGUUGUUGACAUUACCACAAUUCAUCUUUGGUUGGUUUCCAUAUUUUCCAAGCAGAUCUUCUGGUAACUCACAGUCUGGCAAAUGGAUACUGCCUGGCCAAUGUGAAAGUCAGUCUUUGCAGCCACCAAAAGAUUUGCUUGAAGAUUAGGUUUCCU